GUGGGAUUAGCUAGUUGGUGAGGUAAGGGCUCACCAAGGCGACGAUCCCUAGCUGGUCUGAGAGGAUGAUCAGCCACACUGGAACUGAGACACGGUCCAGACUCCUACGGGAGGCAGCAGUGGGGAAUAUUGCACAAUGGGCGCAAGCCUGAUGCAGCCAUGCCGCGUGUGUGAAGAAGGCCUUCGGGUUGUAAAGCACUUUCAGUCGUGAGGAAGGUAGUGUAGUUAAUAGCUGCAUUAUUUGACGUUAGCGACAGAAGAAGCACCGGCUAACUCCGUGCCAGCAGCCGCGGUAAUACGGAGGGUGCGAGCGUUAAUCGGAAUUACUGGGCGUAAAGCGCAUGCAGGUGGUUUGUUAAGUCAGAUGUGAAAGCCCGGGGCUCAACCUCGGAAUUGCAUUUGAAACUGGCAGACUAGAGUACUGUAGAGGGGGGUAGAAUUUCAGGUGUAGCGGUGAAAUGCGUAGAGAUCUGAAGGAAUACCGGUGGCGAAGGCGGCCCCCUGGACAGAUACUGACACUCAGAUGCGAAAGCGUGGGGAGCAAACAGGAUUAGAUACCCUGGUAGUCCACGCCGUAAACGAUGUCUACUUGGAGGUUGUGGCCUUGAGCCGUGGCUUUCGGAGCUAACGCGUUAAGUAGACCGCCUGGGGAGUACGGUCGCAAGAUUAAAACUCAAAUGAAUUGACGGGGGCCCGCACAAGCGGUGGAGCAUGUGGUUUAAUUCGAUGCAACGCGAAGAACCUUACCUACUCUUGACAUCCAGAGAACUUUCCAGAGA
rnacentral:rRNA from 1 species